CUCGGGUGACGAGCGGCGGACGGGUGAGUAAUGUCUGGGAAACUGCCUGAUGGAGGGGGAUAACUACUGGAAACGGUAGCUAAUACCGCAUAACGUCGCAAGACCAAAGAGGGGGACCUUCGGGCCUCUUGCCAUCAGAUGUGCCCAGAUGGGAUUAGCUAGUAGGUGGGGUAACGGCUCACCUAGGCGACGAUCCCUAGCUGGUCUGAGAGGAUGACCAGCCACACUGGAACUGAGACACGGUCCAGACUCCUACGGGAGGCAGCAGUGGGGAAUAUUGCACAAUGGGCGCAAGCCUGAUGCAGCCAUGCCGCGUGUAUGAAGAAGGCCUUCGGGUUGUAAAGUACUUUCAGCGGGGAGGAAGGUGUUGAGGUUAAUAACCUCAGCAAUUGACGUUACCCGCAGAAAAAGCACCGGCUAACUCCGUGCCAGCAGCCGCGGUAAUACGGAGGGUGCAAGCGUUAAUCGGAAUUACUGGGCGUAAAGCGCACGCAGGCGGUCUGUCAAGUCGGAUGUGAAAUCCCCGGGCUCAACCUGGGAACUGCAUUCGA
rnacentral:rRNA from 1 species